CCUUUUAUUUUAUCUUUUUUUUUUUACAUCGUCUGUUUUUUUCUUGUCUCUGCUGUUGACCAAAAACCACAUAAAACUCUGUCUUGAAGAAAUCCUCUUUCUCUCUCUUUCGAUUUGGCUUUAGUUUCCUCAUUACAUGAUUCACGAUCUUGUCUCCGCCACUGUUAUUUUUCAUUGUCAGAGUCAUGACAAAACUUUGAUGAAGAUGAUGUCUUUGCGGAAAGGCAGGCUGAUUGACCCAGUCGAGGCCUCGAGGACUAAUUUCAGUGUUGUAUGGUUAUGGUACUUGAAGUAAUCUCAACUUCGAUCCUCCAUCUUUAUUAGGAUUUUUCAGGAAACUUGAAUAAAAAGAGGAAUUUAGGGAAGAGAGGCUGAGGUAAGCCUUGAUGAAAUCGAGUUCAUAACCUUAACUAGCUUCUUCGACAACCAUAUUUGUUUUGAUUUUUAUAUUCAACAUGGUUUUGGAAACAAAGAUUCCUAGUUCACGUUUCUUUUUGCUUAUUUGUGUAUGGAAAGAUGAUGAUUGUGUUUCAUCAUCUUUGUUUUAAAGAUUUUUUUUAAAUAUGCAGCUGGUACACGUGUCACUUUCAACAAGAAAAGUUUUGAUUUUUAUGCUACACGGGUCCAUCUUACUUGGGGAUUAUUAGGUGACAACAAAGAGUUGAACUUAAUGAUUGUGGCUUGAUGUUACUGGUUAGCCAUUGGUUUUGAUUUGUUGCUCAUUGUUGUGAGUUAAUUUGCAGGUUAAUUUACUUGCAGUUUCAGAAAUUAGAUUACAUCAUUUUAAGUGGUACCCCCAAAAAUAUUUGCUUGAGACUCCAAAAGACGAGCAAGUUGAAAUUAGAAACGUGGGAUAUAUGAUUGUGUCAUUGUAGCAACACGUUUUGACUUUGUUCAUUGUUUCAGUUUGUAUCGAUAUCCUUUAUGAGUGAGAAACUUGAGGUGUGUUUUUUUAUCAUAUAAUCAAAGUUAUUCCAUC